UAUGGACAAGCCAAAGUAGAUCUUUCUGUUGUAGUGGAAUCGGUUAGGACAAGAUUUUAUUAGGGCAAAUAAUGAAUAUAUAUUAUUAGUGUUUUAUGUAGACUGGCUGGAAGCUAUGAAAGGAGAGUGCACAGGAGAGUGUCAUUCUAGGUCUUUCCAUGAAAUGCACUUGGCAAGGAAAAUAGACUCGGCAGAGUAAAGCUAGGAAAGCUAGAAAGACCUCAGAGAGGGAGAGAGCCUGACCCAAAGGAGGGCACUGCUGUGAGACAUGACUGGCAGUGGGGGAGUUUCUGUAAGGAACCACAAAUGACUUCCUGGAUAGACUUGUUAUGUCAUCUAAUUUCUCUUAUUUUGUUCCAUCCAUAGGCUUGCAUUCUUGGAAGGUAAAGGGAUAAGAAGCUGUGAAGGUUACGUAAUGGAGAUGAAAGGCAAGCUACAGGAAGUGAAAUUGGCAAUUCUUCUUGGUCCCUGUUUGGGAAAAUGUGAAUCUCAUCCUCUCAGUUUCUAGUUUGACAGACUAUAAGAGGAGUCUAUCAAGAAACCAUGUACAGAAAUAUCAAGUAAAAUAUAUCAUAAAAAAGGGACUCUGAGAACCUAGUGACCUGAAAAAAUGUUACUUAUGAAACUAAUGACCUAAGAAUGCCUUUAAAUCGAAGAGCAUCUAGUACAGCAAAGAGACCUUCAAAAUGGGCAUGUAAGCACUGAUCCAGAUAGAAGAUUAAAUAGCACGAUAUAUUAAAAAGCAUAAGAGUUAGAGACGAAUGCUGAAAGACCAUGAAAAAUCUCAGAGACAAGUCAUUUCUGGGACAAUAAAUAGCGGAAGACAGCAUUUAACAAUGAAUUAAGGGAAAUUCCAUUCUUUCCUGUAUUUCAGCAGUUAAGAAAUACCAUUGACUAAAAAAAAAAAAAUGAUUUUCUGCAUUGGAUGUUAAAAGAUAUGAAGCAAGAAAUUGACCAUUCAGUGGAACAAUGUGAAUCCUAAAUUAUCUAAAUAAAAACAAGAGGAUCAGUUAAUUCAGAAAAAAGAAUUGUAUAAAUUCUGGAACUCGAAGGGACAUACCUAACAAAGAAUACAUCUUGCAGAUUGCUACAUAAAGGGAGGAAGUGAAUCGCUACCACUCAAUCCUGACAUUAAUUCAACAGACACAUAUUUUGAUUUCUGAAGAAUUAUGGAAACAUUCUUUCAGAAGAGAACAAUGAAAGAUAGCAUUCUGUGUUUAGCACAUUUCCCCUUUCCAAGUGGCAGUGGAGCGUUGUAACAGCAAAGUAAAUUGCUUCUUAUUUCUAUGUGCUUUUUAAAACUGUGACACUGACUGAGCUGAACCACCAAGACCACAUCUGUACACAGCUAAAUAA
rnacentral:lncRNA from 1 species